GGUCACGCGGCGAGCCUGACGGAGCAUACCGCGUGAGGGACGAAAGCCUUUGGGUUGUAAACCUCUUUUUUCAGGGAGGAAGUUCUGACGUGUACCUGAAGAAUAAGCAUCGGCUAACUCCGUGCCAGCAGCCGCGGUAAGACGGAGGAUGCAAGUGUUAUCCGGAAUUAUUGGGCGUAAAGCGUCUGUAGGUGGCUUAUUAAGUCUACUGUUAAAUAUUAAAGCUUAACUUUAAACUUGCAGUGGAAACUGAUAAGCUUGAGUACGGUCGAAGUAAAAGGAAUUUCCAGUGAAGCGGUGAAAUGCGUAGAUAUUGGAAGGAACACCGAUGGCGAAGGCAUUUUACUAGGCCCUUACUGACACUGAGAGACGAAAGCUAGGGUAGCAAAUGGGAUUAGAUACUCCU
rnacentral:rRNA from 1 species